GACGUAGGGCGCGAGCGUUGUCCGGAUUUAUUGGGCGUAAAGAGCUCGUAGGCGGCUUGUCGCGUCGACUGUGAAAACCCGUGGCUCAACCAUGUGGUCUGCAGUCGAUACGGGCAGGCUAGAAUUCGGUAGGGGAGACUGGAAUUCCUGGUGUAGCGGUGAAAUGCGCAGAUAUCAGGAGGAACACCGGUGGCGAUGGCGGGUCUCUGGGCCGAUAUUGACGCUGAGGAGCGAAAGCGUGGGGAGCGAACAGG
rnacentral:rRNA from 1 species